GCCGGAGUGGCGGAACUGGCAGACGCGCCGGACUCAAAAUCCGGUGGGAGCAAUCCCUUGAGGGUUCGAGUCCCUCCUCCGGCA
rnacentral:tRNA from 12 species